rnacentral:rRNA from 1 species
CCUACGGGAGGCAGCAGUGAGGAAUAUUGGUCAAUGGCCGGGAGGCUGAACCAGCCAAGUCGCGUGAGGGAAGACGGCCCUACGGGUUGUAAACUUCUUUUGUCAGGGAGCAAGGUGCAGGUCGGGACCCUCUGUGAGAGUACCUGAAGAAAAAGCAUCGGCUAACUCCGUGCCAGCAGCCGCGGUAAUACGGAGGAUGCGAGCGUUAUCCGGAUUUAUUGGGUUUAAAGGGUGCGCAGGCGGAGGCACAAGUCAGCGGUAAAAUCGCGGGGCUCAACCCCGCUCCGCCGUUGAAACUGUGUGCCUUGAGUGCGCGAAGGGUAGGCGGAAUGCGUGGUGUAGCGGUGAAAUGCUUAGAUAUUGCGAAGAACUCCGAUUGCGAAGGCAGCAUACCGGCGGCGAUCUGACGCUGAGGCACGAAAGCGUGGGUAUCGAACAGGAUUAGAUACCCGAGUAGUC